GUCAGAUCACGCCGACAUAUCCAUCACGCUGGGCAACCUCUGCGUUGCUUCGCCGUGGACGUGGAAACUAAACUCGUCAUUGUUUCGUCACCCGGACAUCUUGGAACAGACUAGGAAGGGAAUUGUAGACUACUUUGAGUGGAACACCACCCCUGACGUGAGCGCAAGCACGAUCUGGGCGGCCCAUAAAGUGGUCAUUAGGGGGACUUUGAUCAAAC